rnacentral:rRNA from 1 species
UACGUAGGGGGCAAGCGUUAUUCGGAAUUACUGGGCGUAAAGCGCACGUAGGCGGACUGGAAAGUUGGAGGUGAAAUCCCAGGGCUCAACCUUGGAACUGCCUUCAAAACUCCCAGUCUUGAGAUCGAGAGAGGUGAGUGGAAUUCCGAGUGUAGAGGUGAAAUUCGUAGAUAUUCGGAGGAACACCAGUGGCGAAGGCGGCUCACUGGCUCGAUACUGACGCUGAGGUGCGAAAGCGUGGGGAGCAAACAGG